rnacentral:rRNA from 1 species
CAUAGCGACUAUCGUGGCAUAUCAAUAAGCGGAGGAAAAGAAACUAACAAGGAUUCCCCUAGUAACGGCGAGUGAAGCGGGAAGAGCUCAAAUUUGAAAUCUUAAAGGGUUUCCCUUUACGAAUUGUAGUUUAAAGAAGUGUUUUCUGUUGGAGUUUUGGUAAAAGUUCUUUGGAAUAGGACAUCAUAGAGGGUGAGAAUCCCGUAUUUGACCAUUAUUUCCAGCUGUGUGAUACACUUUCAAAGAGUCGGAUUGUUUGGGAAUGCAGUCCAAAAUGGGUGGUAAAUUUCAUCUAAAGCUAAAUAUUGGCGAGAGACCGAUAGCGAACAAGUACCGUGAGGGAAAGAUGAAAAGAACUUUGAAAAGAGAGUUAAACAGUACGUGAAAUUGUCAAAAGGGAAGCGUUUGACACCAGUGUUGUUUAGUUGAAAAUCAAUUCAAUAAUUUUUGAUUUUGAGUAGUAUUGACUUCAUCAGCUUGCUGCUUUCUUUUCAGGAAAUUAUUGAAUGCACUUUUCAGUUAACAAGUCAACAUCAAUUUCUUUUGUUGUAAAAGGGUAAGAGGAAGGUGGCAUACGUUUCGGCGUAAGUGUUUAUAGCCUUUUACCUCUGCAAUCGGAGAGAUUGAGGACAGCAGCGUAGACUCCUUCUGGGGUUAGAUACACUUGUGCUAAGCUAUAGCCUUGUAUAGACAACUUGUUGACUAUGCUCAGUCAUGUAGCUUACUCGCUUGUGCUAUUUUACCUACGCUUAGGAUGUUGAUAGUCACAGCGUGUAC